rnacentral:rRNA from 1 species
GACGAACGCUUGCGGCGUGCUUAACACAUGCAAGUCGAACGGAAAGGCCCUGCUUUUGUGGGGUGCUCGAGUGGCGAACGGGUGAGUAACACGUGAGUAACCUGCCCUUGACUUUGGGAUAACUUCAGGAAACUGGGGCUAAUACCGGAUAGGAGCUCCUGCUGCAUGGUGGGGGUUGGAAAGUUUCGGCGGUUGGGGAUGGACUCGCGGCUUAUCAGCUUGUUGGUGGGGUAGUGGCUUACCAAGGCUUUGACGGGUAGCCGGCCUGAGAGGGUGACCGGCCACAUUGGGACUGAGAUACGGCCCAGACUCCUACGGGAGGCAGCAGUGGGGAAUAUUGCACAAUGGGCGGAAGCCUGAUGCAGCAACGCCGCGUGCGGGAUGACGGCCUUCGGGUUGUAAACCGCUUUCGCCUGUGACGAAGCGUGAGUGACGGUAAUGGGUAAAGAAGCACCGGCUAACUACGUGCCAGCAGCCGCGGUGAUACGUAGGGUGCGAGCGUUGUCCGGAUUUAUUGGGCGUAAAGGGCUCGUAGGUGGUUGAUCGCGUCGGAGGUGUAAUCUUGGGGCUUAACCCUGAGCGUGCUUUCGAUACGGGUUGACUUGAGGAAGGUAGGGGAGAAUGGAAUUCCUGGUGGAGCGGUGGAAUGCGCAGAUAUCAGGAGGAACACCAGUGGCGAAGGCGGUUCUCUGGGCCUUUCCUGACGCUGAGGAGCGAAAGCGUGGGGAGCGAACAGGCUUAGAUACCCUGGUAGUCCACGCUGUAAACGGUGGGUACUAGGUGUGGGGUCCAUUCCACGGGUUCCGUGCCGUAGCUAACGCUUUAAGUACCCCGCCUGGGGAGUACGGCCGCAAGGCUAAAACUCAAAGGAAUUGACGGGGCCCCGCACAAGCGGCGGAGCAUGCGGAUUAAUUCGAUGCAACGCGUAGAACCUUACCUGGGUUUGACAUGGAUCGGGAGUGCUCAGAGAUGGGUGUGCCUCUUUUGGGGUCGGUUCACAGGUGGUGCAUGCCUGUCGUCAGCUCGUGUCGUGAGAUGUUGGGUUAAGUCCCGCAACGAGCGCAACCCUUGUUCACUGUUGCCAGCACGUUAUGGUGGGGACUCAGUGGAGACCGCCGGGGUCAACUCGGAGGAAGGUGGGGAUGACGUCAAGUCCUCAUGCCCCUUAUGUCCAGGGCUUCACGCAUGCUACAAUGGCUGGUACAGAGAGUGGCGAGCCUGUGAGGGUGAGCGAAUCUCGGAAAGCCGGUCUCAGUUCGGAUUGGGGUCUGCAACUCGACCUCAUGAAGUCGGAGUCGCUAGUAAUCGCAGAUCAGCAACGCUGCGGUGAAUACGUUCCCGGG